rnacentral:rRNA from 1 species
UGGAUAAGCGCCAAUGAUGUUAUGCUUCCAAGAAAAGCUCGUACACCUCUACAAGCAAUUGUAGAAAAACAUAAAAAUGACCUGUACCUGAAACCGACACAGGUAGGUUGGUAGAGAAUACUAAGGGGCGCGAGAGAACUCUCUCUAAGGAACUCGGCAAACUAGCCCCUUAACUUCGGAAGAAGGGGCGCCCUCUUUUACGGGAGGGUCGCAGUGACGAGGUUCUGGCAACUGUUUAUCAAAAACACAGGUCUCCGCAAAGUCGUAAGACAAUAUAUGGGGGCUGACGCCUGCCCAGUGCCGGAAGGUCAAGGAAGUUGGUGAGAAGUCUUCGGGCUUCGAAGCUGACGACCGAAGCCCCGGUGAACGGCGGCUGUAACAAUGACAGUCCUAAGGUAGCGAAAUUCAUUGUCGAGUAAGUUUCGACCUGCACGAAAGGCGUAAUGAUCAGAACGCUGUCUCGGAGAGAGACUCGGUGAAAUAGACUUGUCCGUGAAGAUGCGGACUACUAAUACUUGGACAGAAAGACCCUAUGAAGCUUGACCGUAUCCUGGAAUUGGGUUCGGGCUUUUCUUGCGCAGCCUAGGUGGGAGGCUAUGAAGAUUUCCUUCCGGGGAAGUUGGAGCCAUCAGUGAGAGACCAUUCUGGAGAGGCUAGAAUCCUAAUGGUGAUCCUUGAAUCAGGGCACUUGACAGUUUCAGGUGGGCAGUUUUUCUGGGGCGGAAGCCUCAUAAAGGGUAACUGAGGCGCGCAAAGGUCCCCUCAGUCUGGACGGAAAUCAGACAACGAGUGUAAAGGCAAAAGGGGGCUUGACUGCAAGACCUACAAGUCGAGCAGGAGCGAAAGCUGGCCUUAGUGAUCCGACGGUACCGUGUGGAAGGGCCGUCGCUCAACGAAUAAAAGUUACUCUAAGGAUAACAGGCUGAUCUUCUCCAAGAGUUCACAUCGACGAGAAGGUUUGGCACCUCGAUGUCGGCUCAUCACAUCCUGGGGCUGUAGUAGGUCCCAAGGGUUGGGCUGUUCGCCCAUUAAAGUGGUACGUGAGCUGGGUUCAGAACGUCGUAAGACAGUUCGGUCCAUAUCCGGUAUUAGCGUUAGAAUAUUGAGGUCAAUCACUCAUAGUACGAGAGGACCUGUAGUGAACAUGCCAAUGGUGUGCCUGUUAUCUUUCCAAAGGUAAACGCAGGGUAGCCACGCAUGGAGUGAAUAAGUACUGAAUGCAUCUAAGUACGAAGUCCAGACCAAGAUGAGUAUUCUCCAUCAAGCCGCAGCAAGACAAGCUGUUCUAUAGGUAUCAAGUGUAAGGCCAGUAAUGGUUUCGGCUGAGAUAUACUAAAGGCUAA